AUCCUUUUUCAUUUCAUGUGCCACGUUUGUGUGGUAUAUGACUCUCUAAAAUUUUGUUAUGAUGCUGAACAUUACCCAUCUGAUG
rnacentral:snoRNA from 1 species